CAAGCUCUGAUGCAGGGGCCGAGACCAGAGCAGUGUCAGCGGCAUCCCUGUUCUGGAAGGUCUCAGAGGAGUACCCAGGACUGGGGAGUCCAAUGCCUGCCGCCUUUUCUGGAGCACUUUAUUGACCUUUGGCUGUGUGCCACGCUCUGUGGUAGGUGCUGCAGGGACCAAGCAUAGGUAAGGGUUCUGUGUUUUUGGAGGACCGGUUUACAUUCCUGAUGUUCAACUCAAAAAUCCCUAGUAGGGCAUCUGGGAGAAGCUAUUGCAAGGGCUUGGGGUUGCUUCUAUGCUCUAGAUAUUGCCUGCAGAUAAAAUAAAUCAUUUCUCAGUUCA
rnacentral:lncRNA from 1 species